rnacentral:lncRNA from 1 species
ACUCAAUAAGGUUGCCUGGGCUAAGAAUGUGGGGUUUUCAUGCCCAUGUGCAAGACAGUUGACCUUCAGAUCACCAAAGGAAGAGAAAUGAAACUGAGACCCCUGCAUAAAUCUGAAAACUUCAGAGAUCUCAUUUAACAAAAGGACUUCAAAAAACUUCAUGCAUUAGCACAGGGAAGCAAUAAUGAACAGUGUUUCUAUUAUGGGUGGAAAAGGGGAAAAAAAGUAAAUUUAACCCUUUUGUGUGGAGAGAAUAACACUAAGCCAAAUAUAUUAAACAAAAUGUUCCUGGACUAUUUGUAUCUCUGGGCAACUAGCAGAAGAAUGUGCAAAAUUAUUCUGUAGCAAUGAUUGCACAACAAAGGUCCCUGGACUCCCAAAGGAAGCACAAUCUUACCAAAGAAGAUCUUAGAAUAAAAAAGUAUAGUAGCAUGCAAAAACAACCCACCGUGAGUGAAAUCAGCAGGAUUAGGCUUCCAAGAAUAUUAGAUUAAAAGGGUACAGGGUAAGGACUACAGACUGUGUGUUUUAAAUUAAAAACAUGACAGAGGAAGGAAUAAAUAUUAUAGUAAGAGUUCCCACUGUGGCACAGUGGGUUAAGAAUCUAGUUGCAGAGGCUCGGGUCACUGUGGAAGUGGGGGUUCAGUCCCUGGCCAGGUGCAAUGAGUAAAAGGAUUGUGCGUUGACACAGCUGCAGUAUUGGUUCUAUCCCUGGCUCAGGAACUUCCAUAUACAGCUUCUGGGUGAGGCCAUUAAAAAACAUAUGUCACAAUAAAAGAAUAGAACACUAUAAUACAAGACAGUGAAUUUUAAGAAGAAAUAUCUAAAAUUCCUAGAAAUUUAAAAAUAUUUUAAAAUAUAUUUAUAAUUCAUUAAAAUACUUUGUAGAUAGCUAAAAUGAUAGAUUAAAACUUAAACUAAAAAUAAUAAUGACAUCUGAGAAUAUAACCCUAAAAAUAGCAAAGAUAAGAAUAAUAGGAGAUAUAUGAAGCAAUAGGAUGUGUCAAAUGAAAAGGUCCAGGAAAAAUAUAAAAGUAUUUUAGGAGGAAAGGAUAGAGAGUAUCAAGGGGAAAAGUAUUAGAAAAAAUAAUGACUGGCAUUUGUUUAUAAUUAGCCAGGUUAAAGAACCAUAAUGAGUUCCAAGCAGAAUUUUGGAAAAAUAAUGUUGUAUUGAAACUGCAGCUCAAAGAGACAAAGAAAAAAUGUCUUUGUAGUCUUAUAAUGGGACAAUUGGAUUGACAGCAGACAUCUUAUCCUAAAAAUAGAUACCAGAAGAAGGUAUGAGAUGAUAUCUUCAAAGUGCUGAGGGAAAAUCAUUGUCAAUCUAGAAAUAUUUAUCUACCUAUGCUAUCCUUCAGAUUCUAAAGUGAAUGUAGACAGUUCAGGAAAGACAUAAAAAGACUGAGCAUGUUUAACCAUCACAGAUAUUUGCAGAAAUAGGUACAAGAGUAAGAAGGAGAAUUAGGAGGGUUAGGAUAUUUAAAAUAAUAAUGAGAAAAUAAAUUGAUACAUGUGGGAGUUAUUUUGGCUAAACAUAAAUAAUGGUGAUAAUGAUGACAGAUUUGAUCAGGAAUAGAACUGCUACAAUAAGAUAGAACUAAAAUGCUAUCAAAUAAUAACAUGGAAUAUUAAGUGUAGUAUUAAAAUCAUCAAUAAUACAACUUUAUAAAAAUUAAUUUGAAAAUAUAGAUCUAAUGAAAAGAAGGAUUAGCACUUCAAAUAUCAAUAUUUAUCAUAAAGCAGAGUAAACAAGAUAAUGUUGUAAUGGCACAGGUAAAUAAAAAGAGAAUAAUCAAAAAAGAACCCAGAAACAAUUAAAUGCCUGCUUAUGUGAUCUAGACAUAUGAGUUAAGAGUAUUACAAGUCAAUGGGAAAAGGAACGACACUCUUAUACACCAGCAGAAAGGAGGGAAGGAAGGAGGAAGCGAGGAAGAAAACUGGCUAAAAUUAUACACACAUGAAGUAAAAUAUUGAUAAAUUUUAGUAUAUGAGAACUAUGUAUGAUAAAACAUAAAUGAAGCUAAAAGUCAGAGAUUGAGAGCAGAUAUUUUCAGUGAAUGAAAUAAACAAAGAAUUAGUCUCCAAAAUACAUAAAGUACUUUUACAAAUCAAUAAGAAAGCUAUAACCUAAUUUUAAAAUGAACAACAGCUGUGAAUAGAAGGAAAUUCAAAUGGAUAGUAUAUGAAAAGAUGCGAAGCCUCACCAGUAAUUAAGAAAAUGCACAUCAAAAUUUCAAGGAGUUAACUUUACAUGUUAUUUUUGGAAAAAAAUGAAUAAGCCUGAUUAUAAUGUGUCAUUUAGAAUAUAGGACUCAUAUAAACUACAAAUUAUGUAAAUUGGGAAUAAAUUUGUAAUAUAAGUUCAAAACGGACACAUCUGAUGAUCCAUCAAUUACAUUUUGAAGUAUCUAGGUAAAGUUAUAUGUACUUAAAGAGAGAAGUACAAAAAUGUUUCUUGAACAUUAUCUUCACAUGAAUUUGAGGUGGAGUGGAGUCGGGUGGGAGAUUUUGAUUUUAUAAUGAAGAAUAUUUAAAAUUAAUCUGAAUCAUAUAUGGCAAAAUGUUAACAUUUAUUAAAUCUAGGUGGUAUGUACAUGAGUGAAUGUUAAAUUGCUUUCUUAUAUCUCUGUGUGCCUAAAUAUAUCAUAAUUAAACAUUUAAAAAUGAGGGCAUCUGAGAUAUUCAAACACUAAAGAAUUGAUUUUGAUGAUUUUUGAGAUCAGAAAAAAAAAAAUAAGUAGGCUUAGCCCACUAUAGUUAGAGUUAAUGUUUUUAUUAAUUGUGGUGACUCAAACACUUUUUCCACACUUAUCCAUGACUGGUUGGUUCUUUGGGGCAGAAAUAUAAGUAUCUGCAAUUGGGUCUUUUGUUUUAGUAUACCUAUACAAUUACAGGGACCAUUUUUCAUAUUGUCCAUAUAAGUAAAACAUGUAUGAAUAAUUGGCUAUUCCUUUGCCUUUUUAGGUACAUUGACACUAAUUAUUGCACUUUUUCCAAUUGACAUUUAUUAUUAGACAUACAUAGAAUCUAAAAAAAUUGUAAUUUUCUUCCUGAGUUCCCAUAUUAUUUUUCAAAUAGCUGUUAUGCCAUUCUGCAGUGAAAUUUAUCACUUUAUACCUCUGUGUCCCCAACUCUAUACAACUUCUUGAGAGGCGGGAUUAUAUAUUACUCAUUCUGGGGUCCCUAGUGCUUGACAAUAGUAAUUAGCAAUACAGGUUUUUUGGAAAAGUAUUGUUUACCUUUUUAAUCAUUUAAGUAAUAACAUGAGUAUAUCUCAUUGUAGAAGACUCAAAUCUUACACAACUAUGUACAGCAAAUAUAACUGUUUUAUAAAUUAUCCUCCUCUUUCACUACUCUCUACAGAGGUAACUAACAUCAACUUUUUUGUAUCCCUGUGAACUGAAGCUAAAUAUCAUGUUUAUCUUCUUUUAGUCAUAAAUUCUAUGUAGUGUGUACUUGACACUUGCUAUUUGAUAAGGCGACUGAUUUUGGAUCCCAAGGGCUAUUGAGAAUGUGUAUCAGAAAUGCAAAGACAUCAAAAAAUAUUUAAAUGUUUAUUGGUUUUGUACAUUGAUAUUUUUAUGUUACAAACAUGUAUUUUCUUUGGUAUAUAUUAUACACCAAAACUAGAUAGAUUUUCAAGCUACCAGAUAUUAGUUUUUAGGGUUUAAUAUUUACUGUUUUUAUAAAUGUCUAUGAUAUAUUUAGAUGAUUUUUAAAAGGAAAUCACUUGUGUGCUAGACAGAAAAUGUAGCUGUAUAAUUCUUAAUGGCUUGAUUUAAAUAUUGCAUUUUACCGUGAGAAUUCAGAGGAGCCUCACACAGUGUGUGUGUUGAGGCAUGAACCAAAAGCUGCUUAAAAGGAUUAAUGUUGCAUCUCAAACUCAGCUGCACUGGUAGGCUUCUGUCAUAUGAGAGGUAUUAAAAAUGAAAUUAUAAAGGAAAAGUUCUGCCCAGGUAUUGAUGAUACACAGAUGGAAAGCGUCUCAAAAACUUGUUUUCCAUACAUGGCAGAGCUGCAAAAGUUAUUUAUCUCAAUCAACAGAGCAAUGGUUAGAGACCAUUAGGAUUUACUGCAGGCAGCUGCUACCUUUUUGUAGCAGGCACACCUGCCCAGAGAGAGCCCAGUGAAGAUAGUUAUAUAACCAUGGCAAUGGCUUCAUUCCACUGACAUGACACCCAUCUUUAAGAAAACUUUUACAAUUGAAAAUAUGUGGGUAUGCUUCUAUUGACUCUUCUAGACUUUCCAAGUUGGUGGAUUCUCUUACUUUUCCAUAGACACAUUCAAAAAAUAUAUUUUGAGUACUUGCACUGUGCUAAGCAUUUGCAUAACAUGAGCAUGGAUCGUGACUACAAAUGACCUAUUCCACACUUUCUCUCUCCAAAUAUCUAUUUAAGGAGCAGUAGUUAUUAUUGCUAUGUUUAAAGUUAAAUCUUAACUGGUAGGCCCAAUCUAUUUUUUUAAGAACUCCAUCCUACAAAAGUUUAUAAAGCCUCUGGCCAGGUGUGUAAAUAAUUAAAGGUUCAAUUUAGAGCUAAACCAAUCAACAAAAUGAUCAAGCAUCAAAGAUCGCUCCAAGCCCCAGUUUUAGUGACUUUGGAAAUCUAAACGAAGAAAGUGUAAAAAUUAUUUUAUGAUCUGGCAGCCCCAUCAGAGUAAAUUAACAUUCUUUGAUUUCCCCUAUGUUAUUUGAAAGCUCACUAUUGUUUUCUCACCUCUUUAUUGCCAGAUUCCAUCUUAAAAUGUUAAAAAUAGAAAUCUCCACUCAUUAAUUUAUGGAUGAAUGGUUCCCCCCCCCUUUUAUCUACUUUAUUCUGUUAACUGAAUAGUCUUUUAACAUGGCUUAGACAAAUUCUAUGUGGGAAUAAUAAAUACCUUUCACAUCAUAGCAAUAUUGGGGUAAGCUAUGGUCCUGCUGAGUGGCUCUUUGAACACUAAGCAGGAGUUAUCAUUUAUUUAUUUUUGGGGUUUCUGUGGCACUUUUCUUCCAAAGAGUACAAGGUGCGACAUGGAGAAUUUUGCACAGGGGUUGUCUAGGAGUGUCAAAAGGAAAUUAAAGGAAAGCAGAGUUCGUAGGAAGUGAGAACACACAGCAAAAAUAACAGCUAAUGGCAAAACCAAGCCCCAGGUGGCCAUUUGGCAUGUUGAAAAAGGUAGAAGAAUCAGGCCUGCCCCAAGGGUGCCACAGUUUGCUUUUCAGAGCCCGAGGUCAUUUUAUCAGAGCUAUGCCUUGGUGAGCACUAGACAUUUCUGUUCAAUACUCACAUGAAGACCCAUAGACCCAGAAUCAGAAUCAUAGACUCAUUGGGCAGGAAGGGGCUCUCAAAAUCUUCUGCCCAAUCUUCUGAAUUCCCAGAUGAGGCAAAUCUAGCUCAGAGAAAAUAAAGAAACCAUCUAGAAACCAAGCCAGGGUUAGAACCCAGGUUAUUCAUUCAUUCAACAAACAUACAUUGAAUUCAUUGUGCUAAACAUUGUUCCAGGCAUCAGGGUUCCUUUAGUCAGUAACAGGGACAUGGGUCCUGAUCCCACACUGCUGCUGUCUCCCUCCAGUUGUUUACAAGGAUAUUCAGUGAACUUUAUAAACCAGCAUUCUGUUGACUGAAGACCCAAUCCUCUUUGAGGGUAAACCUCAAGUGACUUAGAGUGAGAGAAGGAAGUUCUUUUCCAAUUAUCUGUGUGAUGACAUUCUUUGGUCAAGAGGUGCUUCUAGGGCACAUCCAUCAGGUCAGCUGGAAAACAUUUACUUGAUUGAGUUUCAUUUGUAUAGCAAUGGCAGGAAGAUUUUCCUUGCUGAGAUGAGCAGUUUAAUUUUUUGUCUUCCAGUAGGACGGGCAAAGGUUGAGACACUAUCUCUCUUGGAGAAAAUAUUGGUCUCUUAAAAUUGACUUCACCUUUAAAAUGCCUCAAUAAUAGUCUAAACCCUAAUAAGAUAAUUGAAAUUGGAAGCACAUGGUGGUAAAAUCACAUGUGAGAAUUCUUCAGAGGAGCAUGGUUUAAGAGCUGCCAUGAAUCUACCUUUUCAAAAGUGACAUUCCAAUCUUCCUUUUAACACUGGAUAUCACUAUAGGAAAACUCUGG